GUGCUUGCUUUGGCAGCACAUAUACUAAAAUUCAAACAAUACAGAGAAGAUUAGCAUGACCCCUGUGUAAGAAUAACACACAAAUUCCUGAAGUAUUCCAUAUUUUU